GACGAACGCUGGCGGCGUGCUUAACACAUGCAAGUCGAACGGAAAGGCCCUGCUUGCCGGGUACUCGAGUGGCGAACGGGUGAGUAACACGUGGGUGAUCUGCCCUGCACUUCGGGAUAAGCCUGGAAAACUGGGUCUAAUACCGGAUAGGAGCCAUUUUUAGUGUGAUGGUUGGAAAGUUUUUUCGGUGUAGGAUGAGCUCGCGGCCUAUCAGCUUGUUGGUGGGGUAAUGGCCUACCAAGGCGGCGACGGGUAGCCGGCCUGAGGGGGUGGACGGCCACAUUGGGGCUGAGGUACGGCCCAGACGCCGACGGGAGGCAGCAGUGGGGAAAAAUGCCCAAUGGGCGCAAGGCUGAUGCAGGGACGCCGCGUGGGGGAUGACGGCCCUCGGGUUGGAAACUCCUUUCGCUAGGGACGAAGCUUUUUGUGACGGUACCUAGAUAAGAAGCACCGGCUAACUACGUG
rnacentral:rRNA from 1 species